rnacentral:rRNA from 1 species
GACGAACGCUGGCGGCGUGCUUAACACAUGCAAGUCGAACGAAGUGGCGAACGGGUGAGUAACGCGUAAUCAACUUGCUCUUCAGCGGGGGACAACAGUUGGAAACGACUGCUCAUACCGCAUUCUGACGGAGGGGACUGCGUCGGAUUAGUGAGUUGGUGGGGUAACGGUCCCCCAAGGCGAUGAUCAGUAGCCGGUCUGAGAGGAGGAACGGCCACAUUGGGACUGAGACACGGCCCAGACUCCUACGGGAGGCAGCAGGGGGGAAACUUCCGCAAUGGACGAAAGUCUGACGGGGCAACGCCGCGUGAGUGAUGACGGCCUUCGGGUUGUAAAGCUCUGGUAAUCGGGGCGCGGUACCGGAAUAGAAAGCCACGGCUAACUACGUGCCAGCAGCCGCGGUAAUUC